UAAGUUUAUGUCACAAAAUAGCCCUCAAAAACUAAAAUGACCAAAAUAGCAUUUUAUCUUUUGAAAAAUUUAAUUUUUUUUUAUUUUUCAAAAUUUAAAAUCUUAUCCCAAAACUCCACUCCCCAACUCUAAACCCUAAAUCCUAAACUCUAAACCCUAAAUCCUAAACCCUAAACCCUAAACCCCACCCUUUAACUCUAAACCCUAAACCCUAAACCCCACCCCUAAACUCUAAACCCUAAACCCUAAACCCUAAAUCCUUAACUCCACCCUUUAACUCUUAUCUCUAAUGUCUAAAUUAAUUUAUUUUUGGGGUUUAAGUAUAUAUUUAUCUCUUUUGAUAAAACAUUAAGUGAUAUUUUGGUCAUUUUUAUUCUUAGAGGCUAUAUUCGUGACAAAAACUUUUUUAGUGCUAUCCUAGUCAUUUUCUCUAUAUUAUUUCAUUUUAAGAUUUUGAGAAACUUAAAGUAUAUAUGAAUUUUAAUUUAAAU
rnacentral:lncRNA from 1 species